GCAUGUUGCAGCUCCUACGUUGGAUAAUUUCAAUGGUUCCGUGGUUAAAAUAAACAUAUAAAAUAUUUUUAUGCUUAUAUCGAUCUAUAGAUACUAUCGAUCAUAAAUAAUUUGACUCUUUAUAUUAUUCAGCACCCUACCUCCGCCAGUUUGUUUUUUGAUAUAAUAAUAUUGUCAAAAGGUGACGGCGUGAUGAAAUUAUGGAUCUGACAGAUUGCCACUCAUGUAAGAUGCUGAAAGCCCCACCAUUUAGGGGAGAUGUUGUCCUUUACUGGCGACGACUUCUAGCUUGGUGUCACACCGGCUGACUGUUAUGGAAGAAACCCACUGCGACUUUCCGGUUUCUUCUGAAGAAGUUCCUAGAUUCCUCUCUUCAAAUCCCUCUGGUCUUUACCUCCGGAUCACAUAGCACGGCUGGAAACAUCCAACUUCCUCAUACCUGCGAACCUGUCCGUCCUCCACCACCCGGCAGUUGUCCCUCUGGACAGUCUCAAGAUCUUCUCGGCGCUAAUACUCUUCCCCACACGGGCCGGCUCCAGCCUCAGUCUGCCUUCUCCCCCCAUAAAUUUUUUUCUCCGCACCACCAUACCGUCCCAAACUCCUGGCUCCUCGAUCUCCCAGACUGAAGACUCGCAUUCAUAAUCACCUUUGUACAAUAUACUUAUCUUUUAUCACCUGCCUACUGAGUCUGUUCUGCAUGUGGGCAAAGAACACCCAAAACCAUGACAUUAAUGUUUUGACACAAAAUCAAACAUUGCUUAGAGAGCAACAUGUAACUCACAGGUUUGAUAUAACAGUGAUUCUAAAUUUUAUUGUAUUAUUAAAAGAAGAGAAAAAAACUCUACUUUAAAUGACUGACACCAAAAGAGAACCAAGACCCCCAUGAUGACUGCAGAGAAGCUCAGAUCAGAUGGGAGGAUCAGGAACACAGCAAACGUGGAAGAAGGUGCUCAUCAGCUGAAACCAUUAACUGGACCUUUGGUCUUGUAAACUCUGU